rnacentral:rRNA from 1 species
AGCGCAACCCUUGUCCUUAGUUACCAGCACGUUAUGGUGGGCACUCUAAGGAGACUGCCGGUGACAAACCGGAGGAAGGUGGGGAUGACGUCCAAGUCAUCAUGGCCCUUACGGCCUGGGCUACACACGUGCUACAAUGGUCGGUACAAAGGGUUGCCAAGCCGCGAGGUGGAGCUAAUCCCAUAAACCGAUCGUAGUCCGGAUCGCAGUCUGCAACUCGACUGCGUGAAGUCGGAAUCGCUAGUAAUCGUGAAUCAGAAUGUCACGGUGAAUACGGUUCCCGGGCCUU